GUGAUUUUGUUUUUUGUCAUUUUUUGUGCCUUACUGCUUUCUUAGCCCUGUUUAAGUAUGUGCAUUAUAUUUGCAGUAGUUUUUAGGGUCUAAUGAUGGUCCUAACUCAAUUUUUUUUUUUUUUGAAAUUUUUGAAAAAAUAUGCCUUGGGUGCUUUUAGUUUUUUGUCAUUUUUUGUGCCUUACUGCUUUCUUAGCCCUGUUUAA
ensembl:lncRNA